AAAACCAACAUUAAUAACAGCAAUCACUAAAGCAGGUGUGUAUCAGCAUUAUUAUCACUAGUCUAUUAAAACUUCAAAACGAAGCAACAAAAACCCGAACCAAACAUAUUAAUCACACAAUUUUAACAUCUAUCAGAUCACAUUCAAUACGUAAUUAAUCAAAUAGUUGUCUAUAGCUAUAAAAUCCACACGCAUUUACUCGAGUU
rnacentral:misc_RNA from 1 species